UACGUAGGGUGCGAGCGUUGUCCGGAAUUAUUGGGCGUAAAGGGCUCGUAGGCGGUCUGUCACGUCGGGAGUGAAAACCCGGAGCUCAACUCCGGGCCUGCAGUCGAUACGGGCAGACUGGAGUUCGGCAGGGGAGACUGGAAUUCCUGGUGUAGCGGUGAAAUGCGCAGAUAUCAGGAGGAACACCGGUGGCGAAGGCGGGUCUCUGGGCCGAUACUGACGCUGAGGAGCGAAAGCGUGGGGAGCGAACAGG
rnacentral:rRNA from 1 species